UCAGUGCUAAGGUGUUGGGUUGUGGACUGAGAGGUCCAUCGUUCGAUGCCUAGUGGUGAUGAUGAUGAGUAACUUAAGUCGUGUGAGUCGCCAUCAACUGACCUAAGAUGAUUUUAAAAACUCCUGAACCACUUAUUGUUAACCUAGGGUUCUUCGUCCAUAUGGAGUUUUGUGGCGACGCAAGGCGCUCGUACUGGUGAGUUUCAAUCCAGGCCUUUGGAUUGGAAAUGCGGGCCAGCUCGCCGUGGAUCUCGACGUAUGGAAUGCCCAGGGUCGGAUUCUUGGCAUUUGGUCCCGAGCCUCGGGGCGAAUUAGCAGUCGCAAUGGAAUUGUACGUGGAUUCUGCUAGUGACAUCAGUCUUGCAACAGCGAUCGCCUCUUGUCAAGGGCUCCUCGCUUAAGUUUGCCGAGAAUCUGGCCGACUGGGCGAAGAGUGAGGGAUUUGAAAACGUCGUCGUGCUAUCCGGCUUGGACUCGGGAAAGAGACACCACCUCCACAACGCUGGGCCUCAAGUGUACUAUCAGUCCAGUGCCAAUGAAGAUGGCAAAGACGAGCUGUGCGAGAGACUAGGCUGGCUGGACGUGAAACAAUCCGGUCAGCACACCGAGCCCUUCGAGUUUUCUGUGCUGAGAUAUGCGAUGGAUGGUAGAGUCGGAGAGCAUGACCAAGACUACCUCUCGCGACUGCCGGUUACUGCUCUGUUCACGUCCUUCAAGAAAAGAGGCUUGAAAGUUCUGUCAGUGCUGUGCUACUGUGCCAAAGGAGAUAACAUCCCAGACGCUACUGAUUUAGCUAUUAUAAGCUACUUAAUAAGUGUAGUGUAUAUGAUCAUGGAUACACUAUUACCAUGGAUUUUUGAAACAUUGUGAUAAAAUAAUUAUUAAAGACUCUCUUAUUAA